AGAGUUUGAUCAUGGCUCAGAAUGAACGCUGGCGGCAUGGCUAAGACAUGCAAGUCGAACGGACUAUUUUGAAGAGUAAUCGGAUGAAUAGUUAGUGGCGAAAGGGUGAGGAAUAAAUAGGUAACGUAUCUUUGGCUUCAGGAUAGCGUCUAGGUGCUUGCACCUUUCCGAAAGGGGCAUUAAUACUGAAUAACAUCACUUACUUAACUGUUUGUGAUCAAAGAUUUAUCGGCUAUUGAGCGGCCUAUUUCCUAUCAGCUAGUUGGUGAGGUAAUGGCUCACCAAGGCGACGACGGGUAGCGGGACUGAGAGGUUGGCCCGCCACAUCGGGACUGAGACACUGCCCGGACCUCCACGGAGGGCUGCAGUAACGAAUAUUGGGCAAUGGGCGAAAGCCUGACCCAGCAAUGCCGCGUGUAGGAUGAAGCUUUUCGGAGUGUAAACUACUUUCAGGGAUUAGAAAGCUACGGUUGAUCAAUCCCAGAAGAAGUCACGGCUAACUUCGUGCCAGCAGCCGCGGUAAUACGAAGGUGGCAAGCGUUAUUCGAAAUCACUGGGCUUAAAGGGCGCGUAGGCGGACAUGUAAGUGCUUUGUGAAAUCCCCCGGCUUAACCGGGGAAUUGCUGGGCAUACUGCAUGUCUUGAGGCAAGCAGGGGUGUGUGGAACUCUUGGUGGAGCGGUGGAAUGCGUAGAUAUCAAGAGGAACGCCGAAGGUGAAGACAGCACACUGGACUUGUACUGACGCUGAGGCGCGAAAGCGUGGGGAGCAAACAGGAUUAGAUACCCUGGUAGUCCACGCCGUAAACGAUGUCUACUAGGUUGCGGAGGUUCUGACACCGUCGCAGUCGAAGCAAAAGUGUUAAGUAGACCGCCUGGGGAGUACGGUCGCAAGGCUAAAACUCAAAGGAAUUGACGG
rnacentral:rRNA from 1 species